rnacentral:lncRNA from 1 species
GCUGGGUGGGCACCAAGCCCCUCAGACCGAGGGCUGAGCUGCGUGGCCAUGACCCCAUCACUGCGGCUCCCCAAGCCUGUGUCCCUUUGUGUCACGCAAACCCCUGCCACACAGGUGACACACGCCACACGUCUGACACAGGCUCAGCACACAGGGAGCGAUCAGUAAGUGGUGACUAGAGAGAAGCGACGGCCUUCAGCAUGGACGGAGAAGACAGGUCACAGACUCACAGAGGAAACCCCACAGAUCCACAGACGGAGAAAACACCACAGACGCAUGGACGGAGGAAACAGACCACAGACGCACGGAGGGAAUAAAAGCACCACAGAUGCACGGAGGGAGGAAAAGCGCCACAGACGCACACAUGGAGAAAACGCCACAGAUGCACGGACGGAAGAAACGCCACUGACACACGGACAGAAAAAAUGCCACAGACGCAUGGAUGGAGGAAACGCGCCACUGAGGCACGCAUGGAGAAAACAGGCCACAGACGCACGAAGGGAGAAAACGCCACAGACCCAUGGACGGAAGAAACAAGGCAGAGACGCGCACACACCAGUGUGGAACAUGGGACAGGAACGUCCCGGCCAUGCACCUUCCACUCCCACUAGGGACUUCCCACCCCAGAGCACUCAGGAUGGCUGUGGAGCUCCUGCCACCCACCCCAGAGGUGAAGCUGGGGAGCCAGAGAUGAGCAGGUUCACGUCCAUCAAAUGCGGCUGCAAUCCCUGUAAUAACAGGAGGUCACCAUUAAACAGAAGGGCACUUCACUUGGAAUAAAAGCACUCUGCAUAAAAGACUAAAGAUUGGCCGGAGACCGCUUAGAAACCAUCACAAUCAUUCUUGCUAGUGACAGUGAAGCUUCAAGAGUGGUCACUUUUCCUGUAGAAACGCCACAGAGGUGAUUCCUGGAACUCAGUUAGAAUAUUUCUUUCCCGGAAACCACACAACCAAGAGUUUAAUAAUGCCAUCUCUUGAGCAGAAAGAUUAAGAUUUGUGAUGAAACAAAACCCUGGCAAGCCUCCUGAUUCUAGAAGAUGCUAUACAGAAAAGCUAACUCAAAGGGCUUGCAUUUCUUUUGUCGUCCAUGACACACAUGAAAAAAAUUUUAAAUAUACAAAAAAUGUAGGAUUUGUACAGUGAGUACCAAUGUAUCUACCCCCGGAUCACAGAUUAGAUUUUAAAUGUAAAGUUCUAAAGGUUCCCAGCUAAGAAAAUGUGCAGUGUAAGCCUCUACCUGGUUAGAACCAAGGGGAAUGGAAUGAGCUUUCCCCGGCCUUGCUACUCAGCUGGGAGGGGCUGCCAAGGCUCGGCCACCCCACCCCAGAGCACCCAGGAUGGCUGUGGAGUUCCUGCCACCCAUCCCAGAGGUGAGGCUGGAUCCCCAAUCGAGGUGUUAAGAGUGAGCCAGCUGGGUGUGAUGUCUCAAGCCUACAAUCCCAGCACUUUGGAAGGCCAAGAUGGGUGGAUUACGAAGGCAAGAGAUCGAGAUCAUCCUGGCUAACACGGUGAAACGCCGUCUCUGCUAAAAAAAA